GAUGAACCUGCGGAAGGAUCAUUUA
rnacentral:rRNA from 1 species